rnacentral:ribozyme from 1 species
UCGCCAUGAUCUUAUUAUUAAUUAUGGCAUUGGAGUUGCUGUUUACUUCUUUCUGUUUUAUUUUGUGAAAAAUAUCGCUUAUGAUUGGGAAGACUUUUGGGAUUCUUUCUCAGGUUUUCAAAGUGUGAUGGUGUCUCUUUUUUUGGCUGCUCUUGGAGGAGCUGCAAAAUGGGGAGAUCACUUAAAAGAGAAGGAAAAAAAAAGAGAGGCAGAAAGAAAGAAAAAGGAAGAAGGAAUGA